rfam:Roseburia sp. CAG:309 genomic scaffold, scf249
CUGCCCAAGGGGAUCAAAGUUUUCAUUUUCCAUGCUUGCAUGGAAAAAAUGAAAACCUUGAUCCCCGCACAAAAACGAGAAGGGAGCGGCAGAGCCGCGGAGUUCGAGUUUUUGCAGGGAUGCGGGAGCAGCGUAAGCUGCGAAGCAUCCCGUAGGGCAA